rnacentral:rRNA from 1 species
UACGGAGGUCUCAAGCGUUGUUCGGAUUCAUUGGGCGUAAAGGGUGCGUAGGCGGCGUGGCAAGUCGGGUGUGAAAUCUCGAGGCUCAACCUCGAGAUUGCACUUGAUACUGCCUUGCUGGAGUACUGGAGAGGAGAUUGGAAUUUACGGUGUAGCAGUGAAAUGCGUAGAUAUCGUAAGGAAGACCAGUGGCGAAGGCGAAUCUCUGGACAGUUACUGACACUGAGGCACGAAGGCGAGGGGAGCAAACGGG